rnacentral:lncRNA from 1 species
GUGGGAUGCAGCGCCUACAUCCCCAGUGCAUAGGGAUGCACACAGUGGCCUCGCUGGGUGACAGUUCUUUGGGUGACAGUUCUUUUUGGUUCAGCAGGGCUGUGGCUGCAGGGGUCUCUUGAGGGUGCUCCAUGUGCUCACAAGGCAUCCAUGGCCUUGGCAGCCACACCUCCACCACACUGGAGGUACCCAAGGAGACUCAUGUGGCUUGUUUGUUUUGCAGGGCUGGGAUGGAGCCACCACAGGCCCCUCGGCCACCUCAGCCCACCCACCCCCUCACUGCUGCUGCUGGACCAGGGUGGGCUGCCGUCCUCUGAGGCCGUGUGACAGGGAACUGGCA